rnacentral:rRNA from 1 species
UACGUAGGGCGCAAGCGUUGUCCGGAAUUAUUGGGCGUAAAGAGCUCGUAGGCGGUUUGUCGCGUCUGCCGUGAAAGCCAGGGGCUUAACCCUUGGUCUGUGGUGGAUACGGGCAGGCUGGAGGCAGGUAGGGGAGAACGGAAUUCUUGGUGUAGCGGUGAAAUGCGUAGAUAUCAAGAGGAACACCUGAGGUGAAGACGGGUUGCUGGGCUGACACUGACGCUGAGGCGCGAAAGCCAGGGGAGCAAACGGG